AUACGUAGGUGGCAAGCGUUGUCCGGAUUUACUGGGCGUAAAGGGUGCGUAGGUGGAUAUUUAAGUGAGAUGUGAAAUCCCCGAGCUUAACUUGGGGCCUGCAUUUCAAACUGGAUAUCUAGAGUGCAGGAGAGGAGAAUGGAAUUCCUAGUGUAGCGGUGAAAUGCGUAGAGAUUAGGAAGAACACCAGUGGCGAAGGCGAUUCUCUGGACUGUAACUGACACUGAGGCACGAAAGCGUGGGUAGCAAACAGGAUUAGAUACCCUGGUAGUCCACGCCGUAAACGAUGAGUACUAGGUGUAGGAGGUAUCGAUCCCUUCUGUGCCGCAGCAAACGCAAUAAGUACUCCGCCUGGGAAGUACGAUCGCAAGAUUAAA
rnacentral:rRNA from 1 species